rnacentral:tRNA from 1 species
GCCGCUUUAGCUCAGUUGGUAGAGCACGUCAUUCGUAAUGAUGGGGUCACGUGUUCGAGUCACGUAAGCGGCACCA